AUAAAAAAAAUAAAUAAGGAAUAAACAAAUAAUUAUAAAUAUUAACAAGAAUAUUACGUACAAACAAUAUAUUAAAAAAUAAAUGAACAUCGCCGGGGCAACAUCGUUGUGUGGAUAAAAUAUCAUAUUACGAGUGACGUUGCUGACUCCGCGGAACGAACACAAAGCCGUGUGAACCAGAAGAUUCCUGAUAGCACACAUCCCAUGGUAUUACUAUCCCAACGUCGGGGCAGUCAUGUAGUCUUACUCCGGUUGUUACCCUAUAAAAUUAGAAUGAUGAGACCAAUUUCGAGUACAGUAUUUUGUUUUAUUAUAAUUAAUAUGUUGUCUAAAUUAAGAGUUGAGUAAGUUUCUCUAAGUGUAUUUGGUUGAUUCAAAACCCAUAAGAGCACAAGUUUGAUCACAUAUGUAGCUCUAAAAAGUCCUCAUUUACCAGAGGUCUUAAUUUUCAGAACAUAUCUCUGUAUAUGAGUAAAAGUUUUUUUAUUUUGGGGGCUAGAAAAAUGUCAGUUUUGAAGUCAUAUAUCAUAAAAAUCAAGUAACUGAGUAGAGCUGGACAGUGCUUGAUACCGCGAUAAUCCUUUUUGCUUAACAAAGCACAGAUUUUCUAGCUCAUGAAAUAAAAUUCUCAUCUUUGGUCAGAUAUCCUUCAGUGCCAGUUACAUCUCCUUGUCAAGAAUCCAACUCUAACAAAUGACCUAGAAAACUCGGACGGACCUAAAGACGUAACUUCACUCUGAGAGUUCUAUCGUGGUGCAGGAUGUUGAAUUCGUUCUUCCUUCUAUUUGCUCUAAGUAACCAAAGAGAUCUUAAAAAGACUAGAAUACACAUGUCUUCUACAUAAAGAAAGCUGCUAAAACAUUCGCAGUUCUCUUCAUGGUAGAUUUGUGUAUUGACAACGAUAACCGGCUAACAUCGGGGUGUAACAUUGACGACACAAUAAAUCAACUUUUAUGUUUUA